rnacentral:lncRNA from 1 species
UAUGUUUAAAACACUAGUAAAUUAGAGAUUCAGGGACUAGGUGUUGAGGAACUUGCCAUGGUUAUAGAUACUUCAUAUUUUUGCUUUCCUUUCGAAGCAUUUUUUUGGUUCUGAAAACUAGUUGUGGAGUCCACAAAGUUAAAUAGUUGAGGGAGUAAGGCAGUUUUCCGAGCUCACAGUUUAUCAAAACAACAACCCAGUAUAAUCCCACUUAGUAGGGUCUGGGGAGGGUAGUAUGUACGCAGACCUUACCCCUACCCUGGGGUAGAGAGGCUGUUUCCAAAUAGACCCCAGGCAUCCUUCCUUACUCUUGGGGAGACUCGAGCUCACAAUUUAUUGAUUUCUAAUUUAUACAUAUAAUUAGUUGAUUAUUCCUUUUGGCCAUCUUGUGCUCAUUUUUCCCUAUUAAGAUCCAUGAUUUGAUAUUUAUGUAUCUGAUUUUUGCCUUUAUUUCCAUAACAGGAUGAUCAAUUCGUUGACAUGGUAUACCGCGCUAUUUCGAAUGCUCAUCAUACAUUAAAACAGUGUUACUGGCAGAAAGAUGGCUUUGAGACCCAUUUUGUAUAGUAGUAUUAUUAGUCAGUUUACCUGUUCAAAUUGUAAUUUACCUUAUGUGCAAUGUCUUUUUUUACUAGUCACUUCUAUUCUUGGGCUUUGUGUUCAUUAAAUAAUAAGCAAUCAUGUUGAAUGUGUAUUUGUAUUUUCAGCUUUG